UACGCAUUUGCUACAUGUAUCUUGAUGAGUUUGGAUAUAUGCAUAUGCCUGUGAUGCCAUCACCACAACCAAGUUACUAGACAUACCCAUCAAGAUGGUUGUUCAUUAUUAUUCAUUCUCACCUUUUUCCAUGACAAAACCCACAUUUUUAGUUAAGCACAGAAUUAUCUGAAAUAAAAACUAUAUAUUUUUCAGAAAGGAGGUGACCUACAAUGUGAAAGACGAUGAGAUCUGAGGACAAAGAUUAAACAUCUCCAAGGCCUAGCCCCUUGCCUGGCAAAAUAACAGGAGCUCAAUUAAACACACGAAUGAAGUUUCUCCUUACAGUUCUAGCACAAUCUUUUUGAUGUUCUGCUUAGUUUGCUCCUUGUGUGAGAGGGAGAGACUUUCUGAUGCUGUUCCUGGCUUCUCAGUGUUUUCAUCUAAAAAGUAAUGAUGAAGAGGAGAGAUCAGAAGGUGGAAUUUCUACAUAAUAUCUAUCUGGUUGGGUGAACUGUGUCUUACUUAAUUCCUCAUUCACUCAUGGAGGGCACAAGGGAACCAAUUAUUUUACAAGACUGUGGGUUCCCAAGGGUCUCUCAGAGCCUGGAGGAGUGCACGAGGCUUCUGAAGUUCCCCUGAGCAUUUCUCAGGGUAAAGGCAUUCUAAUAGGUACCUGUUAGAAGACUAUUUCUGAUACAGAGAAAGGGCAGCAUUCCAACCUUUCCCCACUGUACCUCCUCUCUGGCCUAACCCCUCAUUUUCUUACCCUAGUUCUCUGCCCCCAGUGAGAGCCAUUGCUCUUCCCCAACAUACCUCAGGCACCGCCCUCUAUGCCUCAGCUCAGGUGGUUUCUCCUCCUGGAUGUCCUCUGUCCCUGCCUCUCAAACACCAUCCACUCUCAGAGCCCAUGCCAAAUUCCAUCCUCUCUAGGAAGUCUUCCUGGAUCACCCAGCAGGCACUUGUUUUUCUCCCACAAUGCCUAUUGUUUCAUCUUCCUUUGAACAUCAGCACAUUCUGUCUUGUGGUGUUACUAUUAUUUUUAGAUGGGUAUUCAGUUUCCUGAAAGGAUGCUGCCUUGGGCUUCCGUAUAGCCCCUGGCUAGCUAGCAGACUGCCCUGAACAGAGAAGACAUCACUAGAUAGCAGUUGGUUGACUGAUUGCAGCAUCCUGCUCCUUAACUAUGCUUUCCUUUCACUGAAGUGGAGAACACACACACACACACACACACACACACACACACACACACACACACACACACACCAGCUACAACCAAUGCAGCCCCUGGUUUCAUAUUUUCAUGAGGGGACUUUACAACUUCUCAUCUUGAACUGUCAGGCAGACAUUCUACAAG
rnacentral:lncRNA from 10 species